GCGCCCAUAGCUCAGUCGGUANNGCUCCCUUUUAAGGAGACGGUCGUAGGUUCGAUUCCUACUGGGCGCACCA
rnacentral:tRNA from 1 species